rnacentral:rRNA from 1 species
GACGAACGCUGGCGGCGUGCCUAAUACAUGCAAGUUGAGCGAUGAAGAUUGGUGCUUGCACCAAUUUGAAGAGCAGCGAACGGGUGAGUAACGCGUGGGGAAUCUGCCUUUGAGCGGGGGACAACAUUUGGAAACGAAUGCUAAUACCGCAUAAUAACUUUAAACAUAAGUUUUAAGUUUGAAAGAUGCAAUUGCAUCACUCAAAGAUGAUCCCGCGUUGUAUUAGCUAGUUGGUGAGGUAAAGGCUCACCAAGGCGAUGAUACAUAGCCGACCUGAGAGGGGGAUUGGCCACAUUGGGAAUGAGACACGGCCCAAAACCCUACGGGGGGCAGCAGUAGGGAAUCUUCGGCAAUGGACGAAAGUCUGACCGAGCAACGCCGCGGGAGUGAAGAAGGUUUUCGGAUCGUAAAACUCUGUUGGUAGAGAAGAACGUUGGUGAGAGUGGAAAGCUCAUCAAGUGACGGUAACUACCCAGAAAGGGACGGCUAACUACGUG